GACGAACGCUGGCGGCGUGCUUAACACAUGCAAGUCGAACGGAGCGAAUGAAAGCUUGCUUUUAUAAGCUUAGUGGCAAACGGGUGAGUAACACGUAGACAACCUGCCGACAGGAUGGGGACAACAUUCCGAAAGGAAUGCUAAUACCGAAUGAAGUGCAGGGGAGGCAUCUCCCCUGCAUGAAAGAUGGCCUCUAUAUAUAUGCUAUCACCUGUUGAUGGGUCUGCGUCUGAUUAGCUGGUAGGUGAGGUAACGGCUCACCUAGGCGACGAUCAGUAGCCGGUCUGAGAGGAUGAACGGCCACAUUGGGUCUGAGACACGGCCCAGACUCCUACGGGAGGCAGCAGUGGGGAAUCUUCCGCAAUGGGCGCAAGCCUGACGGAGCAACGCCGCGUGAGUGAAGAAGGUCUUCGGAUCGUAAAGCUCUGUUGAUGGGGACGAACGUGCCUAAUGCGAAUAGUUUUAGGC
rnacentral:rRNA from 1 species